rnacentral:rRNA from 1 species
UACGAAGGGGGCUAGCGUUGCUCGGAAUUACUGGGCGUAAAGCGCACGCAGGCGGUUCGCCAAGUUUGGAGUGACAGUUGUCGGCUCAACCGACAAAGGACUUCAAAAACUGGUGAACUUGAGGACGAGAGAGGAACAUGGAACUCCAGGUGUAGUAGUGAAAUUCGUAGAUAUCGAGAGGAACACCGGUGGCGAAGGCGGCCAACUGGACGAAUACUGACGCUGAGACACGAAAGCGUGGGGAGCAAACAGG